UACCUAUGUGAAUUGUAUUUCAGUUGGUUUUGCAACUUUCAGAGGAAGCAUUCAAACAAAUAGCUCACGAUGGGAUUCAAAAUAAUAUAAUGUGAACUGUCAAAAACCUAGAGAUCUAGCCUGCAUCAGUUAUCCAUGUUCUCAAGCACAAGUCUUCCCACCAGUAGAAGUAACCAAGAUCCUGGAGAUAUUGUGGACUUUUCUUUGACCUCUCAGUGAAUUCAAUAAAAGAGAGGAUUUCUGACAGUGAUAUUUUUGACCAGUUGCACCUCUAACCAUGGGCAAGAUGGAAAGAUCCUGAUCCCAGUAUUGUCAUCUCCCUCCUCACCUUAUGACUUCAGUGUGACUACCACAUGGUAUGAAUCAAAAGUGGAAAGUCAAGAAGCAAAGGGAGAGAUGGAGUAGAAUGGGUCUCUGAGGAGAAAAGAAAAUACUUUAAUCUCUCAGAGACUUCGGGAUGACCUCCAUCACCUCCUCCUUUGCUUCGUUCACAAGCAGCCUCUUCAACACCGAAGUGCCCCUUUGCCUAAAGAGCAGUUUCUCAUGACAGUGGGAACAGAACACGUGGACCCCAAAACUCUAUACCCUGACCUGGUGGGGAAACUAUCCUGUUUAGCAUUCCAGCUGUUCAGAAGUCUCCAGCAAUGCUUUUCUACCAGCCACAAAGAUCACACAAUAAAAUAUCAUCACAGUCAAUCACAGCUCAUCACUAACAUUCACUUUCUUGAUUAUUUUCAAAGGAAAACAAUUAACAGAUUCAACUAAUAGAGAUAAAAACAGUAAUAUUAUUAAAAGGGAAAGCCAGAAGAGUCAGAGGGCAGUUAUCACUGACAAAAUUACACUAAUCUGUUUUCCUUAACUUUCAUUUUUUUAAACUGCCUAUUCUUUCUGAUUACUUUCUAGUCUUAAACUGGAAAGGUUUCUUUCACUCAAAAAAUUGAAUUCCUUUCUGUAAAAUAAUUAAAAAGUUCAUUAAAAUUGAGUAAAU
rnacentral:lncRNA from 7 species